GGAGGGGUGCCAGAGCGGUUGAAUGGGGCGGUCUCGAAAACCGUUGUGCGUCUUACGGCGUACCGUGGGUUCGAAUCCCACCCCCUCCG
rnacentral:tRNA from 1 species